AAUUCGCCCUUUUCCGGUUGAUCCUGCCGGACCUGACUGCUAUCGGAUUGAUACUAAGCCAUGCGAGUCAUUGUAGCAAUACAAGGCAGACGGCUCAGUAACGCGUAGUCAAUCUACCCUAUGGACGGGGAUAACCUCGGGAAACUGAGAAUAAUACCCGACAGAACAUUAUGCCUGGAAUGGCUUAUGUUUUAAAUGAUUUAUCGCCGUAGGAUAGGACUGCGGCCUAUCAGUUUGUUGGUGAGGUAAUGGCCCACCAAGACUAUUACAGGUACGGGCUCUGAGAGGAGUGGCCCGGAGAUGGGUACUGAGACACGGACCCAGGCCCUAUGGGGCGCAGCAGGCGAGAAAACUUUGCAAUGUGCGAAAGCACGACAAGGUUAAUCCGAGUGGUUUCUGCUAAAGAAACCUUUUGUUAGUCCUAGAAACACUGACGAAUAAGGGGUGGGCAAGUUCUGGUGUCAGCCGCCGCGGUAAAACCAGCACCUCAAGUGGUCAGGAUGAUUAUUGGGYCUAAAGCAUCCGUAGCUUGCUUUGUAAGUUCUCGGUUAAAUCCAUGCGCUUAACGUAUGGGCUGCCGGUAAUACUGCAAAGCUAGGGAGUGGGAGAGGUAGACGGUACUCGGUAGGAAGGGGUAAAAUCCUUUGAUCUAUUGAUGACCACCUGUGGCGAAGGCGGUCUACCAGAACACGUCCGACGGUGAGGGAUGAAAGCUGGGGGAGCAAACCGGAUUAGAUACCCGGGUAGUCCCAGCUGUAAACUAUGCAAACUCAGUGAUGCAUUGGCUUGUGGCCAAUGCAGUGCUGCAGGGAAGCCGUUAAGUUUGCCGCCUGGGAAGUACGUACGCAAGUAUGAAACUUAAAGGAAUUGGCGGGA
rnacentral:rRNA from 1 species